AUGUUAGAAGGUGUUAAAUCAAUAGGUGUCGGAGCUGCUACAAUUGCUUUAGCCGAAGCUGCUGUCGGUAUUGGAAACAUCCUUAGUUCUUUGAUUCAUUCCGUGGUGCAAAAUCCAUCAUUGGCUAAACAAUCAUUUGGUUAUGCCAUUUUGGGUUUUGCUCUCACCGAAGCUAUUGCAUUGUUUGCCCCAAUGAUGGCAUUUCUGAUCUCAUUCGUUUUUCGAUCGCAUAAAAAGUCAUGA
rnacentral:rRNA from 1 species